AGUUUAUUUAUAUUAUGCAUACAUUUUAUACAGGUGUGGUUUCCUGAUGGUAGAGUGUUGACCUUUGAUCCUCAGCCUUCCGAUAUCCGCCCACUCAUUCCUGAUACUCAUAAACUCAAUCACAAACUAAUCAUAUCACAUGGGAAAUGGACUGAUGCUCUAAUGAUAGAACUAAGUAUCAUUCGUCAUCAUUCACUGGACAUUCCCUCAGAGUCUCAAUACAUGUCACUAAUAACCAAACUAAUAAAGAGAGGAGAGGGUCAGACCUCAUCCUCCAGUCACAUGAUCACUUCAGACUCCAUUCAAUCCUCUUCUCCUCAUAUGGUUGGAUCUGUUCUUAUCAGUGACAUCAUCAAGUUGAGGAUAUUACCACAAGAUACUCUUGCAAGAGGUUAUAAUGUGUUUGGACCAACUUAGAGUAGAGAGACUGAGGAGGGAAGGACAUAAUUUUUAUAGUUCAUGACUUUAUCAUUUUUCAGUAUUAAAAGUUCAAAUUAAGAUUUACCAA